AAAAACAGCCAAAGAUGGCUUUGUGUUUAAUGCACUUGCUGUAGGCUGAAAGCCCCAGCUGCACUGCCACCACCUUGCCCCCUACUCCUGCCAGGUCAACUCAAAUCAAAACAUACUCUUGGGACAAUGCCCAAGUUAUUCUGGUUGGGAACAAGUGUGACAUGGAAGACGAGCGGGUCAUCUCAACUGAGCGAGGUCAACAUUUAGGAGAACAGCUUGGGUUUGAGUUUUUUGAAACAAGUGCCAAGGACAACAUUAAUGUCAAGCAGACAUUUGAGCGCCUUGUGGAUAUCAUCUGCGACAAAAUGUCAGAGAGUUUGGAGACUGAUCCUGCCAUCACUGCUGCAAAGCAGAACACGAGACUCAAGGAAACUCCUCCUCCACCGCAGCCCAACUGUGCCUGCUAGUGUCCCCGUGCACACAGGCAGCUCCAGGGGGCUCUGGUUGCCAACAAACAGCAUUUGUAAAUGGUCUAUUAGCCUUCAUUUAUACUGCCUAACAAUUAUUUGAAGGAAUAAAUUGAUGUCAAUGGCUCGUACGCAUUCAAUUCUUGGGAGCUUUCCUGUUUAAUAUGUGGCAAAUA
rnacentral:sRNA from 1 species